UGGGGAAUAUUGGACAAUGGGCGCAAGCCUGAUCCAGCCAUGCCGCGUGAGUGAUGAAGGCCCUAGGGUUGUAAAGCUCUUUCACCGGUGAAGAUAAUGACGGUAACCGGAGAAGAAGCCCCGACUAACUUCGUGCCAGCAGCCGCGGUAAUACGAAGGGGGCUAGCGUUGUUCGGAUUUACUGGGCGUAAAGCGCACGUAGGCGGACUAUUAAGUCAGGGGUGAAAUCCCGGGGCUCAACCCCGGAACUGCCUUUGAUACUGGUAGUCUUGAGUAUGGUAGAGGUGAGUGGAAUUCCGAGUGUAGAGGUGAAAUUCGUAGAUAUUCGGAGGAACACCAGUGGCGAAGGCGGCUCACUGGACCAUUACUGACGCUGAGGUGCGAAAGAGUGGGGAGCAAACAGG
rnacentral:rRNA from 1 species